AAAAUAGUUGUGGAUGAUUACUAAAGUUGAUGUUAAAUAGCGAGUUUAUUGAAAUGUUUUGUCUAUUUCAGCAGCUUUUAAAUAUCAUACUUUCUCUGGUGUCUUCAGUAAAGCUAAAACAAGAGUACAUUUACGUCCUUGGUUCUUUCAGGAAAACUUUUUGUUGAGAUUUGCUGUUAUACUAAAAAAAAAAAAUGUAUGUGCAGAAAAUCUGAUAGGUAUUCUUCUAUUGGAGAUGAGGACUUGGAUGCAAAAGUGCUGGACAUUCAGCGUCAUCACCCAAAUGCCGGCUGCAGAAUGAUGAUGGGACAUCUACGAUCCAGAGGCAUACACAUUCAAAGAUUUCGACUGAUGGAUUCAAUGAGUCAAUCCAGAAGGGGUCAUGAUGCGACGGUUAUCUAGUCAGACUGCAAGGCAUCGUCAGUACAGUGUACCAGCACCAAAUCACCUUUGGCAUAUCGAUGGAAAUCAUAAACUAAUUCGAUGGAGAUUUGUUGUCCAUGGUGGGAUAGAUGGUUUUUCUAGGUUAAUUGUCUACCUUAAAGCUGCCACCAACAACAAAGCUACAACAGUUUUUGAUGGUUUCUUGUCAGCAAUCAGACAAUAUGGCAUACCGUCAAGAGUCCGGUAAGAGGUGUUUAACAAAUACAGUAUGCCAAAAAACUCUGUAUUGGACAGUAGUUAUAUUCAGAUUGUUACUCUCACUGACUCGGAUCAAAACUUCUCUACUCUUUUUUUCAGGUCAGACAAAGGG